rnacentral:rRNA from 1 species
CCUACGGGGGGCUGCAGUGGGGAAUAUUGCACAAUGGGGGAAACCCUGAUGCAGCGACGCCGCGUGAGUGAAGAAGUAAUUCGUUAUGUAAAGCUCUAUCAGCAGGGAAGAAAAUGACGGUACCUGAGUAAGAAGCCCCGGCUAACUACGUGCCAGCAGCCGCGGUAAUACGUAGGGGGCAAGCGUUAUCCGGAUUUACUGGGUGUAAAGGGAGCGUAGACGGCAGUGCAAGUCUGGAGUGAAAGGCGGGGGCUAAACCCCCGGACUGCUCUGGAAACUGUACGGCUGGAGUGAAGGAGAGGGAAGGUGAAUUCGUGGGGGGAGGGGGAAAGAACG